GAUCUCAGGAGAGCAAAGGAGCCAGGUCCACUGUUACAGGGACAAAGAUUUAAUUCAAAUUCUGAAGGCAUGGAUAUAACACAAUGGCAAGGAAAGUCUGAAAUCAGAGACUGGUGGCUUCUUCCUUCAUUCCAAGUGAAAAAGAAGAUUUUCUCAGUCCUGCUGAGAUUUCCCUGCAGCGUGCAAACAUUUGUGAAUUGUGGUCUCACAAAUCCUUCCAGUGUGGGGUUUUGUUUUUUCUCCAUUUCUUAAGGGUAUGUCUGCACUGCGUGUGUCUCUCAUGUACCAGAAAGGAUGGGAGCAAGCUUGUACAAUCAUCUGUGCUAGUUGAUGUAAUGUUAGGAGCAGUAGGCUUACCCAAGAAUGUCUCCAAAACUCCUUGAGUUAAAACCUUGGAGGUUGCUUGACAAGCUACAAUCUUUCCAUCAAUCUCUAGUCAUAUUAGUCUUUUGCAGCAAAAACACUGGACCCUUGUGGCACCUCAGUAAGUUAAUGAGUUAGAUGUCAUCUAGUUGGGCUGAGCUCCUGAUGAUUUCGUGGACAACUGCUCACCAUCUCAGCUUAUCUCCAGCAAUAAAUUGAGCUCUUCCAGUGACA